rnacentral:rRNA from 1 species
AGAUUGAACGCUGGCGGCAUGCUUUACACAUGCAAGUCGAACGGCAGCGCGGGGCAACCUGGCGGCGAGUGGCGAACGGGUGAGUAAUAUAUCGGAACGUACCCAAGAGUGGGGGAUAACGUAGCGAAAGUUACGCUAAUACCGCAUACGAUCUAAGGAUGAAAGCAGGGGGACCGCAAGGCCUUGUGCUCCUGGAGCGGCCGAUAUCUGAUUAGCUAGUUGGUAGGGUAAAGGCCUACCAAGGCUACGAUCAGUAGCUGGUCUGAGAGGACGACCAGCCACACUGGAACUGAGACACGGUCCAGACUCCUACGGGAGGCAGCAGUAGGGGAAUUUGGACAAUGGGCGCAAGCCUGGAUCCGAGCAAUGCCCGCGUGAGGUGAAGGAACGGGCCUUCGGGUUAGUAAAGUCGUUCUUUUUGUCGAAGGGAAGAAACGGGUGGGACUUAAGUACUUACC